rnacentral:lncRNA from 1 species
GUUUUUAUUUAAAUUUGCAGGUAUGUUUGAUUACAAGUAUUGUGUGACAGUUGGUCUAAUUGACCAAAAAAUCUUGCAAGGUGUGUACAGGCAUUGUCAACAUUUGCCAUCUGAUUGAACUUUACAACCAGUGCUUGAGAUCCCAUGACAUUCAGACAAUUACUUUUACUCCAAAAUAGUGUUGGUUCUCGGUUCUUAAAAAACUAAAAUUGAUUGUAAAUAAUGAACAAUUCCAUAUACUUAUGCUCAAUUUUAAGCAGAUUUUGUUCUGAAACAAAGCUUGGUUGCAAUUGCCAAUUUAAGUCUUUAUUAAAUGCGCCAGUGAAGACUUGGACUUUUCAACUUUCUUG